GCAUAUCAAUAAGCGGAGGAAAAGAAACCAACAGGGAUUGCCUCAGUAACGGCGAGUGAAGCGGCAACAGCUCAAAUUUGAAAGCUGCCAACAGGCCGCAUUGUAAUUUGUAGAAGAUGCUUUGGGUGUCGGUCCAGUCUAAGUUCCUUGGAACAGGACGUCAUAGAGGGUGAGAAUCCCGUAUGUGAUUGGUGCCGGUACCCGUGUAAAGCUCUUUCGACGAGUCGAGUUGUUUGGGAAUGCAGCUCAAAAUGGGUGGUAAAUUUCAUCUAAAGCUAAAUAUUGGCCAGAGACCGAUAGCGCACAAGUAGAGUGAUCGAAAGAUGAAAAGCACUUUGGAAAGAGAGUUAAACAGUACGUGAAAUUGUUGAAAGGGAAGCGCUUGCAACCAGACUUGCGGGCGGUCGAUCAUCCGAGGUUCUCCCCGGUGCACUCGAUCGUUCUCAGGCCAGCAUCGGUUUCGGUGGUGGGAUAAAGGCUGUGGGAAUGUGGCCCUUCGGGGUGUUAUAGCCCACGGUGCAAUGCCGCCUACCGGGACCGAGGACCGCGCUUCGGCUAGGAUGCUGGCGUAAUGGUUGUAAGCGACCCG
rnacentral:rRNA from 1 species